AUUGAACGCUGGCGGCAGGCCUAACACAUGCCAGUCGAGCGGAUGAAGGGAGCUUGCUCCUGGAUUCAGCGGCGGACGGGUGAGUAAUGCCUAGGAAUCUGCCUGGUAGUGGGGGAUAACGUCCGGAAUCGGGCGCUAAUACCGCAUACGUCCUGAGGGAGAAAGGGGGGGAUCUUCGGACCUCACGCUAUCAGAUGAGCCUGGGUCGGAUUAGCUAGUUGGUGGGGUAAAGGCCUACCAGGGCGACGAUCCGUAACUGGUCUGAGAGGAGGAUCAGUCACACUGGAACUGAGAACCGGUCCAGACUCCUACGGGAGGCAGGAGUGGGGAAUAUUGGACAAUGGGCGAAAGGCUGAUCCAGCCAUGCCGCGUGUGUGAAGAAGGUCUUCGGAUUGUAAAGCACUUUCAGUUGGGAGGAAGGGCAGUAAGUUCAUAUCUUGAUGGUGGGAAGUUACCAACAGAAUAAGCACCGGCUAAAUUAGUG
rnacentral:rRNA from 1 species